AGCCUUCUUCUGUGCUUCACUGUGCCUGCAGGAGCAGAGCUGCUGGCUUCAUUUGCUGCAGUGCGGUUGCAGUUGCCCCGGGCUCUUCUUGCUCGGGGGCUAGAGAUGGUUCCCUUGCCUUUCCCCUUGUAAAUAGAGAGCAGAAGCACUCCAAAAGCUGGCAGCACUCUGCCCGCUGAUCCCUCCGUGGAGCUCUCCUUGCACAGCAGGGGACGUGUCCCCUGAUGGGUGACAGAGGUAUCUGAAAUGGAUGGGGCUGCGUUGGAGGUACCUGCCGGCAGGGCUACCUGGGAGACGCUCCUAUCUGUCAUCUGAUUUAUCCAGGUUAAAAGGCUGCAAUCAGUCACCAAAGCUCCUGGCCUCGUCUCGGCUGCGGUGGGCUGCACGAUGGAUGAUGUGUUUGAGGCUUUCCAUGUCUGGGGGCAGAUUGGGGCGAGAUGGCGCCGGGAGACCUGCGUGGUGGAGCCUGGUGCUGGGACAGCGAGGGAGGACAGGGUGCAUAGAGGCUGGAGCAAUGGAGAAUGUUAGGGACGAGUGCAGGGCUGAUGGGCAGUGAGGAUCAAUAGGUCUUUGUCGCCUGCAGUUUUGCUCUUGAACCUGUACUCAGGUGCAGAAUGGAUUAGAGCAACCAGGCAGCCCACCACUAACACUGACUGCAACCUCCAACCGUUGUGUGCCUCAACAUCUCGACCGUUGGAGGGCACUGUUCUGAUGCUCCCUGUAAAUGGAUUGCUGCUGGGAGGCACCAGGAGAAAAAAAGGUGUUCCCAAUGAUCUCUGCUGCUUGUCUGGAGCCUUUCUUUUGGUCCCUGUGACCUCCUGGCAAUGUCGCCUUAGGCAGUGAUGCUGAGCCCAUGAUCCCAUGAUGAUGCUCUCGCCUUCACCACGGGCCAGGUGACCUCAUCAACACUGCUGUCCCAAGGACAGACUGCCAGAAGAUGCUGCAGGCACUGGAGGAUGCAUCCCUAGAGGAGCAGGAGCCCUCCAGGUCCAUGCUCAGGGCUCCAGGUUGGCACCCCAUGGUGGGGCCAGGAGGCCCUGGUGCUGUAAAGAUGUAUAGCUUUUCACCUGGCUCCUGUGUAAUUAGCAGCUGCCCAUUGCUGGGAAGGACUGGGCUCAUCCUUCCCUGCCCUGGAGAGCGGUACCUGCUUACCCUCGUGGCAGCUCUGCUGUUUGUCUAGGGGCAAGGAGAGUCAGUCUGGCUCAGCAGCCAAGAGCUGCUUCAUUGGUAUGUCCUGAUUAUCGUUCUUCUGCCACGAUAGCAAAUAAAAUAGUGAACAAAUGAGCAUCAAGCGGGCAGAGGAUGAGAAGCACGUGACUAGGCAGAGAGAGGAGAUGCAAGUGAUGGGUAUUGCCUUGUUCCAGCCAUGUAGUGAACAUAAAUCAUACC
rnacentral:lncRNA from 7 species